GCAUGGUCGCGGGUUGAAAAGGGUUUUCUGGGAUAGGGAUGGGCUCCGGCCUAUCAGCCUUGUUGUGGGGUGUAAUGGCCUACCAAAGGCGUCCGACGGUUAACCGGCNCUGAGAGGGUGACCGGCCACAUUUGGGACUGAGAUACGGCCCAGACUCCUACGGGAGGCAGCAUGGGGAAUAUUGCACAAUGGACGCAAGUCUGAUGCAGCGACGCCGCGUGGGGGAUGAAGGCUUUCGGGUUGUAAACUCCUUUCAGUACAGAACAAGGCCUUUUUGGUUGAGGGUAUGUGCAGAAGAAGCGCCGGCUAACUACGUGCCAGCAGCCGCGGUAAUACGUAGGGCGCGAGCGUUGUCCGGAAUUAUUGGGCGUAAAGAGCUCGUAGGCGGUUUGUUGCGCCUGCUGUGAAAGACCGGGGCUUAACUUCGGGGUUGCAGUGGGUACGGGCAGACUAGAGUGUGGUAGGGGUAAUUGGAAUUCCUGGUGUAGCCGGUGGAAUGCGCAGAUAUCAGGAGGAACACCGAUGGCGAAGGCAGGUUACUGGGCCACCACUGACGCUGAGGAGCGAAAGCGUGGGUAGCGAACAGGAUUAGAUACCCUGGUAGUCCACGCCGUAAACGUUGGGCACUAGGUGUGGGGCCUUUUCCACGGGUUCUGCGCCGUAGCUAGCGCAUUAAGUGCCCCGCCUGGAGAGUACG
rnacentral:rRNA from 1 species